rnacentral:lncRNA from 1 species
AAGCAUAAAAGUUCAAGAGUGCAUAAGAAAUCUUACAACUUUUACAGUAGCAGGAGGCACAUUUCCAACAGAAAUUGGUUGCCGAUUCAUAACAGGUCCAUUCACUAAUUUGAAAAAGAGGAAAGAAAAAGAAAGGACAAGUUAGCAAACAAGCAGGAUAACCAAGAAUUAACCAUGAAAAAUUAUGAACAGCCUAACCAUAACAAACUUAAGUGAUUAAUUCAAGCAAGACAGCCUAUUAUACUAAGAUUUGUAAUUCAAACCUUACUAUGUUCAUUUGAGGGGUAUGACGAGACAAUUACUCUUAUAAAAGAUAAAAUAGAAAUUGCGACUACACCUUAUUGACACUGAAACAUUGAUAAUUUCAACAAAAAAAAAGUCAAAUAGAUAAGUGAAACCGAAUCAUUAAGUACUUUCAUUAACAGAAAAAAAAAAAAAAAAAAACCAAAUAUUUUGCAGUGGAAAAAGGGACAACAUAUUGACUGCAAAACCAACCAGAGGGCAUAGAAGUUGGAGGCGGCCCAGUAACUGAAGCAACAGGAGCUAUGUCCAUUUUUACAGGACUCUGAUUUGAGGGCAAAGUUGUAAUUCCUGGACGACUUAAAGUAGCACGGGCCUCCAUAAAAUUCUCUGAGAUUAAAACAAGAAAGCGGGGAUUUUUCGCAUUAUCAAUUGGUGGAUCUGCCGCUCUAGGGUUGCGCUUUCCCUGCAUUGGCAAAGUGCUCACUAUCACACCAACUUCUUCUAGUGAUCUUAAGCCAUAGGAAAUAAAAUAUUCAGUCUGGCAAUAAUACUAUCACCUCCCUUUUGUAUUGUCGAACAUUCUUUGCAGCUUUAUUAAUAUAAUUAGACAGUGGUUCCAUGCAUAUGAAUACCAGAAAAAACUAUAUUUUUUGUUCAAGACAGUCUAAGUGGUUGAUUUUAGAAUUCAACAACAUAAAGGGUUAAAGCUCAACAGAGCACCAAGGAAAAUAAAGGAAGUUACUUUAAUGUUGAUUUAGCAAGAUAUACAAAAGGUCAAAAGCUUAAUACAUACAUACAUACAUACAUACAUACAUACAUACAUACAUAUAUAUAUAUAUAUAUAUAUAUUAUAUAUAAUAUUUAAGGAUAAGAGAUAAGAGAUGGAACAUACCGCAUUGUAUAUUGCUCUGAGCUCAGGUAGCUGUAUUGGACAAAUGACUGACAGUGAAACAGAGCUCUGGAUGAAAAAGUAAGGGCUCAUUACUGAUAAUUUUCAACCUUCACGAGGAACCCAUCACAAGGAAAGGAACAGACAUCAUUAAAAUGGGAAUAAACAAAAACACUACCUGUGGAAAUGAUUUAGCAACAGCCUCAGCAUCAUAAAGACGAUUUUCUGUUUGUGCAUCAAUAUUUUCAUUUUGCUCCAAAUUUUGAAUUUGUGGCCGAUACACUGGUGUGGGCAGAGGGUGAGGUUUACUUGCAGCAAUAAGAACACAAUGCUUCUGACAAUCCACAUUUUGUUGAUUUUGGCUUCCAUUUUGAACUGUAGGGAACAUCUGUGUUUUACAUCAGAAGAAUAGUAAAUGUUAAGUUUAACAUGCGACUAAGAAAUGCAUUUGAACUCAAAAGUACUUAGACGGCUUUGAACAGCAUACCAUUAGAGCUUCCGAAAGCCCUUCCGCAAUUGCAGCAUCACUAAAACCACCCCCAGAAAAGGGUAUAGCUGAAAGCCUAUGUAAGAAGAGAUCCACAUCCCUUGUCCAGCCACUCCGUUGUACCAGGCAACCUUGAUGAAAGGUUGUACAAUUAUUUCAAAAUAUUCAUAUAUAUAUAUAUAUAUAUAUAUAUAUUGAGCAAAUGCCAGUUACAGUAAUGACAUGGAAUGCCUACAUAUCAUCUUGGUGAAUUGGGUUCAUAAGAAACAAGGUGUGAUACUAGUUAAGUGGUAAUUUACCAGGAAAAAAAAAAAAACUUCCAUUUCCAGCCAUAAGUUGUCCUACUAAGGGGAACUGGAAACGUAUAACUUAAUGUAGCUCGCUGUAUUUCCACAUAAAGUUCGCAAAACAAGUUUUUCAGACUUCCAGGUGGUGUUAUGUACAAAGAGCCACUACGUUACAAUAAAGUCUACUAAUUUUAGAAUUUAACUUAAAGCUAGUAAAAAUCCACCACUUCAAAGGGAAUAAUUCCACAAAGCAUGUUAAAAUCACCAAGAAAUCAUUUGCAAACCUUGAACAACAUCCACCUUAACUUUCAAACAAUUAUUUGACUUAGUAUAAGAUUGAACCCUGUUUACAAAGAACUAUUUGACUUAGUGUAAGAUUGAAUCCUGUUAGUAGGAGGAUGGAGGACUAGCAAGUCUUCCCCUACAAAAAGUAAAAUUCCUGAAGAAUUUGUAGUCAACCUCGUACUGCAAUAAUAAAUUAACAACACAAGUCAUACAUCCGAAAACUAGGAAUAAGAAGAACAAAAUUACAUACCACAAUAAGAUCCAUGAGUAUUGAACGUGACCAGGGAGAGCUCAACAGUAGAAGUCGACAGCUUCUGCAUCUCAAAAGCCAAAUUACAUAAUAAGAAAAAGACUACCAAGCUAGAAGUCUUACAGACGGAACUAAUAAUGUUGUUGCCAGUGAAACGUAAGAAUGGUUGUCUAUGGUUUGAUAAUAGUUGAUGUAGUGUACACAAAUGGUAAUCAAAUUAUUACAUGCAUGCUAUUAACAUCUAGUCAAAGAAGGCACAACCACCUACACGAAAACAUGUUUAAAUAUGUAAUGAACAAUUAACAGUUCGGACAAAUGACUUCUGAUGGAUAAUGAUAAACCUAAAGUAAUGGAAAAGGGACAUACCUGCCCACUUGGCUCGUUUCCACAGAAACUCCUGCAGGAAAAAGAUAAAUCAGAUGUGACUUAUUUAUAGAGUAGUGCAUAAAAUCCCAUGCAUGUUAAUGAAAAAUCAAUGACAAACUUCAUAUUUGGUUCUAUGUACAGGAAUGUAUUAGAUGAAGAUUGUUAAUAUUCCAAGUAUGAACUUUUGCUGAAGUUGUUAUAGCUAGGCACUUAUUAACUUUUAGAAUUCUCCAGGACACUAUAAAAAUUUCAUGUGCAAUGAAAUGAAACUGUAAAUGGGAAAUCAUGAUAAAACCUCAUCUUUUAUACUAUACUUGGGGGAGUUAAUUAAACCCCAGGAGAAAUAUAUGAUUCAACAGGACAAAUUCAUGAGAACUUACCUUGUAACCUACAUCAUAAGUAGAAACCAGAAAGUAACGUGUGAAAUCAAAGCCGGUCAUAGACAAGGAGGGAGAAAGAACAGAAGCUAGCUACAACACAGCACAAAGGAAGAAAGAUAGAAAAAUUACUAAGAACUUAAUCGCGAACCUUACGAUCUUCUCUAAAUAAUCUUUAAAAAUGAGUUCCCAGAAGGGACCCAUGGCUGCAGUCCCUUCAACAGUGAUGAUCAGUUGUUUCUCAGCCAUUAAGGUUUUCUCUGUGAUAGGAUUGGGGAUCUACUUUUAAAGAUCACAUUGACGACCUCGGGCAUAUCUAUUAGUCUCAUUGAUGAGCACGUAUGUACGUUUUUCUCUAGUUAUUGACACGUCUGCACGAAACUCUGUAAGGUAAAAACUAACCAUCCACCAUCGACCACGUAACCUAUACGUUACUGAUUAUAGUAUUACAAUAACAAAAAUAAUAUUAAGAAUUUAAAUAAUUAAUAAUAAUGUGUAAAAAUACACUUCAGACAUCGUAGUAUAGAGAAUGCUCACUCCAAUAAGCUGGAGCAUGAUACUCUGCUUCAAGAUGUCUAAGGAGUUAUCCACUCUCUCCUUUGCUUGACCACCGGAGGAAAACCAAUUAUUCAAUGUCAAACCCAAAACGUAAAUAUGACAGAUUUAGCCUAUAAGUACUGUAUUUGUUCCUAAAGCAGAAGGUUCUGUAAUAAGUUAAUAGCAAACACGGGAUAAUAACUGAAAGUUACCUCAUUAAAAUCGCUUGUAUUGUCUGCAUAAUUUGGAAGGAAGUUAAUCUUGAUACAUGGAAUGUAUCUAUCUGACCAAUUAUAGGACUUAUUUUCCAUCACAUGCCAACAAGCAACAAAUCAUCGCAUGGAGCUCAUCACCGCGGAUAGCUUCUAACAAAACUGACGAGAACUAACUAAUUAUUUAUAAAUCAAUCAAAAUCCAGUUUCCAUCAGGAUUAUAUGAAAUAAAACUUUGUACAUAGUAGAAAUAUAGCAAGGCUGCCUACGGUUUCACGGUACGAGGGUACAGAAAAAUCGGACCUUUCUACAACUACAACACACUAAACUAGUUUUAUCAGAUUCUUUAGUAGCUGACGAAAGAUUCAAAAUUGAACCAAAACUGUAUAGUUUUUCCAGCUAACAAACAACUACUCCGCAUAACCAAUUUCAAAGUGAAAAGUGAAAUUGCAAUCAAAUGUCGAAUCCGAGCCACCAAACGCAGCCGAAACAAGCUAAUUAAUCACAUAAACAAGCCACAUAAAAUUCUCGCCCGAUAACAAACACCAAAACCCUAAAAUCACAAUGCAACAAAAAAUCUAAAAAAGAAAUCAACAAAAGAAUAAAUUCAGCUAAGAAACUCCCUACCUGAUGAUCUUAUCAAGGUAAUCGGAGACGACGGUUGCCCAGCAGGGCCCCAUGGCGGCGGUGCCUUCAACGGCCACGAUCAGCUGCUUCUCCGCCAUCGUACAGCUAGAAAGGACCGUAGAGAAAUUUCAACUGCUUUUGCUGGCUGUGCGGCGGAAAUGUGUGAGAGUCCAAAGCUUGGAAACGGUGGUAAGUGCACGAAACGCAGCGUUCUGGACGACAAAGACGAGUAUUUUAAAUGGGAGUCGAUACCCCGCUGCUGCCGCGACUGGUUUGGGGUUUCUUCCGGUGGCGCAAAAUUAAAGGCCGAGCCCACAGCCUUUUUUAAGUUUUUUUUUUUUUUUUUUUUUUGAAAAACUGGAAAUAUUCAUAACCAGGGCUGGAACCAAAAACACAGGGAGACCUAUCAGGAGGCAACAACCAAAGUACACAAACAGAUGGCAAUGAAGAGGGGAACAAAGGCUAAAGAUGUUGCACCAAGUGUGAAGCGUCACCCUUUCACUACCCAAAAACAAUUACGGAGGACAGGGGAGGCCAUCCUUGUUCAAAAUAUGCACCAGCGAAUAUGGGGGAUGGUUAAUCCAAGUAUAACCACACAUCUCCGUGUUACUUCUCGACGCCAAACGGUCCAUCGCCAAAUUGACUGAUCUCGAAACCCAAUACCAACGAUACAUCUAAAAGGAAUCCUGAAGCCUUAAAAUUCUAGUCAACGUAGGAUAAGUCUCUCAGCUGCAGAGGACAAAUCAUUACCAAAAAUGUUCUCUUUAGAAUCCGAUUCAACAAUAAUUAUGUGCAAGCCCAGAGAAUGAGCAAAUUCACAUCCAAACAAAAUGGCAAGAGCUUCUGCCACAACAACACACGGAGCAGAAAUCAUCAGUUUCCACACCCCAACAAACCUUCCAUCAGUGCAUCUGGCCACAAUCCCCACACAGCCCUCAGCCGAAGUAACAUCCCAGCUCGCAUCAACAUUGAGCUUGGUAAACAUGGAACAGGGCAGAGAUCAACGAACCAAACCCAAAGGGGAAACCUGCUGAGGUAGAAAGUUCCUCAAAGGUGGAUAAGAAGCCUUCAAAAAAGUUGUUGUCGAAGAGGAGAUAGACAUAAUGACUUUUUGUGGGUUGAUAGCCGUUUGGUUAUAGAGAUUGUUGAUAAUCAAAAUCGGAGGUCUUGGAACAACGUAAAUCCGUCCGUGAAUCUGCAAGAAAUGUAAAUAACACAAGAGUUAUCGUGGUUUACCCCAAGGCUUGGGCUACGUCCACACUGAUUGUAUUUCUCUGACUGUAUGUAUGGAUUACAAGGGUGAGGGGGAGUCCCCCCAGAGAAAGAGAGUGUUAUUGUGUUUGUGAGGGUAUUGCCCUCUGUUGGGUUCACUAAGUCCCCUUUGUGAAAGGAGAAAAGUCCCUUUUUAUAGAAUAAGGGGCUCCUCCUUUUACAUAAUCAUAUGGGCUGGGUAAUGAGGCCAAAUGUAUCAAAGUCUGAGGCCCAAUAUGUGUGGUACCAACAGUAGUCCCCCAAGUUUUCAGUCAAGAGAGUCUUUUGGCUGGAGACUUCAAAUCCAAUCCAUGUAUGGGCCGAAGUGGCUAGAUGCCUUGAACCAGUACUCAACCCAAGGCAAUGCUCAACAUAAAGCAAUAUUCGGCUAGAGGUAUCACACGUUACGAGAUUGCUCGGUUGGAGGCGAUGCUCGUUGUGAGGCUGCUCGGCUAAAGGCUAUACGCGACGAGGCAUUUGCUCGGUUGGAGGCGAUGCUAAUUGCGAGACGGCUUGCUAGAGGCUAUGUUCGCUGCGAGACGGCUCGGUUCGUGGUACUCCUCAUUGCAAGUAUCUAUUUUAUGUCGACAUGCACUCAGUAUGAGUUAAUUCUCGACAUGACUCGGGUCCGCUUGUCGGGUUCGCAUAUUGGGUCUAUGUGUCGGAUCCGUGGAUCGAGUCCGCAAGUCGAGUCUUUGAGUUGGGGUCAUAUGUAUGGUCAUUGAUUUGGGGCUAUCUAUAGGGUUAUCGAGUUGGGACUAUCUGUAAGGUCAUCGAGUUGGGUCCGGGCACAUAAGUGUCCCAAUAAGCGAAUGUCCGUGCAAGUGGGUGUCCGGUCAGACAAGAGAUCACCAUGAGCACAUGGCUCAUCAAUCUAUAAGUUGGUAGAUUUCGUUAAUCAGCAAUAAUGUUGAUCAGUGGACCUAGUUGCUCAAUAAUUCCUAACAAUAAAUGACAGUAUAAGUACGACCGUAUAAUGAAUAAAUCAAAUUGACAAAGUUUGUCAAGGCAAAAUAUUGUACUAUGUGCCUUCUAUACAUAAAUAAUUUAUUCAGUCGUGUGGUAAAUAAUUUGUAUCAUAUAUCAACAAUAUAUUAGGUAUUGCCUAAAUGUGUGUGUAUAUAUAUAUAUAUAUAUAUAAUCAUAUGUUGUUUAAUAAAUCAUAUGUUGUAUAAAUCAAUAACGUGGUAUAAAUAAUGUGAUAUCAGAAAUAAUAUUAUUUAAUCAUAAGUCAUCAUAACAUAAAAAAUAAUAGGAUAUUAAAUAAACAAUGAUAUUCGGAAAACAUUAUGAUGUGAAAAGUAAAGCUCUUUUUUCUUUUUCUUUUUCCUUUUGUCCCUUCAUGAUGAAGGUUUUAUGGCACUAUCAUAUAUAUAUAUAUAUAUAUAUAUAUAUAUAUAUAUAUAUAUAUAUGUGUGUGUGUGUGUGUGUGUGUGUGUAUGUAUAUACAUAUAUUUAUCAUGAGGUGCCGCAUUAUAUGCACAUAUCACGAAAGCAAAUAAUAUAUAGCUAAAUGUGCACUAAAAUAUAAAUUUGAUAGAAAUGAUGUGGUCUCCUCAAAGAAUAUGCAUACUGUAAAGCAUCCCCAACACAAAAUAAUAAUAAACUAUUUAAAUAAACAAAUGAUAAGUUGGAGAAAAGUAAGAGGAUCUUCCUCCUUAGAAAUUAUAAGUUGCUUUCAUUUGGGAUCCUCAUCUUCUCCAAUUGGGUAUAUAUAUAUAUAUAUAUAUAUAUAUAUAUAUAUAUUUUAACAAAGGGAUAGUGGGUAAACAUUAUACCAUGUACCCUUUUUCUUUCUGCCAUGAAUGAUUACAGAUAUAACACUAAAAUAUUGAAAACAUGAGUGAUUAAAGAUAAGUAGCAGAACAUCAUAGAAUGCAUGUGAUGAUAAAAAAUAAUUAAAGGUAAAUAAUAAUAAAAUAAUAAUAAGGAACCCUUAUCUUCCUCCUGGGUCUUCCAGCUUUCUCAGAAAGUGGAAAGUGGACAUGGUGGUAUUCACAGGAGGUGGGAUCCCUGUGUCUGGAAUGAUUAAAGAUAGAUAAGUGUGAUAGAAAUGAUUGCCUUCGCUGCUUUUAGUGAAGGCUUUUUCAACAAAGUGGGAAAAUGCACUCCCCCUCCUAAAAUACAGACACCUUCCGUCGCACAGCACCAACACCGAGUCCAGUUCUUAUAGGCGAUGCUGAGCAGGUUGUGCUCCUCCACCGUCAGCUCGGUCCCGGCGGCGAUGGAGCCGACAACAAGCUUAUCCAUGAAGCUCAUCAUCUCUUCGUACCGCUCGGCCUGCUCGGCGAGUUUUGCCAGGUACACGUACUGUUCUCUGCUGAGGUUUUCAGGGACAGCAGAAGCCAUUGAAGCAGGCGAAUCAAGCGUUCUGCAUCCUCCCCGACAUGGGCACGAACGACAUCGCGGCCUGUGGAAGGAUCAUAGAUGGCAAGGUUGACAUAGGAAUAAGUGGACUGAAAGAGGCCGCAGACCAAAGGCAGACAGAGUCAGGGGCCUUCCAUGUCUUGAGAAUGCAGUAGAUGUCAACGAGGUGUUCAAGGUGUUGUGCUUGUGCCAGCAAUUGCCAACUCAAACUGAGCGCAGCACGGCCACCAGAGAAGGCAUAUUUUUGUCAACAGACUCCAGCUCACCUCGGAGGAAGAGGCAAGUCGAGUUCAAGAGGCUUUGGAGGUAGGUGCCACCAUGGCUGCUCUCCAACGACGGUGUUGGUGUCUUGGAUGGCAUUGAUUUGAUUAAUUAUAGCUGGCUGGCGGUGUUUGGUUUUUUGUACCUAAAAUCUAAGUAGUAAACUCAAAUAUAAGAGAGAGAGAGGGUAUAAAGAGACUGUGACUGUGACUGUUUUUUUUUUUAUUUCUUUUUGUUUUGGUUUUUGGGUUUCUGCAGAUUCACGAUAGAUAUUGUGGUGAGGUUUCACGGUGGUGAGAUAAAAAAAUGAAAGUCGUUUCCCACAAAUUGCACCAAAUGUUGAUGCACAAAACCGGAGGUCUUGGAACAACGUAAAUCCGACCGUGAAUAUGCAAGAAAUGUAAAUAACACAAGAGUUAUCGUGGUUCACCCUAAGGUUUGGGCUACGUCCACACUGAUUGUAUUUCUCUAACUGUAUGUAUGGAUUACAAGGGUGAAAGGGAGUCCCCCAGAAAAAGAUAGUGUUGUUGUAUUUGUGAGGGUAUUGCCCUCUGUUGGGUUCAAUAAGGGGCUCCUCCUUUUACAUAAUCAUAUGGGCUAGGUAAUGAGGCCCAAUGUAUCAAAGUAUGAGACCCAAUAUGUGUGGUACUGUUGAUCCUAAAAACUACAAAGCUUACGUAGCGCGCAGGCCGAGUAAUCUAUAAGCUAACUACGUCAUUCGAUGAAUGCGGGGCGUGCCAACUCGUUGCCCGAGCUUGACCGAGGAGUAAAUUUGUUGAUGUUGCGUUGGGUACGCGGCUGACUUCUGCGUCUUGCGAUUGCGACCGAAGAAGGAACACGUCUCGGCCUCUUGGGUUCUCGAACCUGAAGACAAGGCUACUAUUCUUACAAAGUUCACGAAUCGUCGUCGUUGGAUUCGGUCACAGUGAUGGUAUUCGUCAGAGUAAACUCACGCCGAAUCGACACCAAAGUGUAAGAGCACAAAUACUCGAAGCAGAUAUGAGUCUUAAUAAUGAACGUGGUUCGACCGUCUGAACGUCGAACUCUAAAUCCUACUUGAGAGUAUCCAAUCAUCAAAUAACUCGGCGUACAAUGUGCUGAGCUCGGUGGGCUGUAACACCUCGCUUCGUCGAAAAGGUUAACGAGAUGACCUCAAUCAAUAAGGAUUCAGAAAUCAUUCUCAACCGAGACUUGGAUAGGUAACCAACCGUCUUCGUCGUAGUGCUGUUGAUGCCAACAGAAGAUACUACGAGAUCGACUGAUUCUACGGCGACAGAGCUAUCUAUGUCGACCGAAGAUAUCAUUGGUUGCUUUCACAGUGUUGUUGAUGCCAACGGAAGAUGUGUCAGCGAAAAGAGAAAAUAAAAAAAAAUCUCAAGUUGUUGAGAGAGUUUGCGCAUGGCAGUUGUGUGUUGAAUUGGAAAGGGCUCGAACGAUGCACAGCCUCCUCUAUUUAUAGCACCGAAUACCUUCAAGGUCGAGUUAAAAACCUACCAAGAUUAGGACUUCUUCUCCUAAUCGAACUCCAACUCGACCAGUCUUUUUUUUCACUAUACUUUUGAACCCAGUCCUAUAUUGAGCCGGAUUCACUUCCAGGUUGUUAAUCUCGUCGAAACUCCUCAUUGCACCAGGAUUCGACUCGUCUUGCAGCAUGACUUAACCUACCCAGGUUUGGAAGCCCACGAACCAAACAAUCCAUGGUAACUUUGUCGUAUGGCCUUCCGGGCAGAGAAUAAUUCUAUACUCGGUCCAAACUGAUAUUUUGGGCCCAAACAGGUACCAACAGAGAUAAUUACACCGAGCCUUCCAAAUAAACCAACAAGUGAAGGCAACAUAAGACAAUGACCAAAUAGUUGCAUCCUUAGAUCCUAAAGGUGAAUUUAAAAAAAAGAAAACCAGUUCGCCAACAUCGAGAAACCAGUUUUAUCCACCACGUAAUAAACAGUCAAUAUUAAGACCAACUCCAAUGGUGGGCUAAAAGCUAAAUUUCCCCAUUUAUUCCCCUUCCCAAACACCACCCAACCCAUGCUAAAAUAUCGAGCUAAAAGCCAAAUGCCAAAGCUAGGCCAAAUUCCCCCAUAUGCGAGUGGACUUGCUAGCACUUGGGCCAGUCUCGGCCCGCCCACGCUCCAACGCACCCCAUGCGGUUGGCUUGCAAGGGUUUCCCGACAGGGGUGAGCCCCGCUGUCAGCUGUGUGUCGGCCAACAUUAUCAUCCUAACAACUAUAGUUUUAAUCCAAGGGCUGGGCUCAGUGGCGGAUCUACAGAGGGACCUGGGAGGUCCCAGGACCCUCCGGCAAUCCUAAAAUGCUACUAUAAAUUUUCUGGGGGACCCCUCAAAGCAGGAUCUGUGCUGUCAUGUGCUGCAGGUUGCAGCUUGCAAUGGAGAAGAAGACAGGGGGAAGAAAAGAAGACAGGGGGAAGAAGAAAGAACAGGGCCUAAAGGCCUUUUAAAAAAUUGGUCCAAAACGCAGUGUUUUGGCCAAUUUGUUUAAAUUGUUUUUUUUUUUUUUUUUAAAACCCAACCGUUUGUCCAUGAUUCCCGAGACCCUUUAACGCCUAGCCCACAUGAUGGGCCAUCCUGAGUCACUCUUCCUUCCCCACCCCCCAGUUCCUGCUUUUCCAUUCCCCCUAAUCCCCAUCUUUCUUAUAUUCACCCAAAACCAAAACCCUAAAUUUCUAAUCCCACCCAAUCCCAUAUUAUAAUUAUAUUACUCCAAUAUUAUACCUCCACUUGUUUCAAUUCUCCAAGCCACCACUAUUUGGUUCAAAAUUCAAGUAAGUUUUUUGGUAUUAAUCUAAUCUCAAUUAAAUUAUAUUAGAUAUUGGUGGAGAUUUUUAGUCUAUUAUUGAUAUGAUUGUUGAUAUGUUUUAUGUUUGUAUACUCAUUUUAUCAUUGAAAUUUAGAUGGAUUUUUUGUUUAUUGGUUGAUUGGUAUAUGUUUUGUGUUUUUGGUUAAAUGUGUAGUUUAGAAAUAAGAAAUAUGGAAAGAUUUUUCAAGCCAAAGCCAAUAGCACUAUCUACUUGUUCGGGUAGUUUGAGCUCAAGACAAAAUGAGCGUGACAUUGAUUUUAAUAGUCUUGAGAGAGACUUGGGAAAAAGAAUUCGAAUGAAGGACUAUCCUUCUAAUAUUCAAGAUGAGGUCCGAAUAGCAUAUUUGCAAAUGGGACCUUGUAGGCCUACAAAGUAUGAGUUCCCAUACACUUUGCAUGCAAAGAAAAAGCAACGAUUUGUUGUUUCGUGGUUUGAAGAAUAUGAUUGGUUGGAGUAUAGUAUAUCUAAAGAUGCGGCAUUUUGUCUUCAUUGCUAUCUCUUUAAAAUCAACUUUUCACAAUUAGGAAGCGAUGCCUUCACUGGGGUAGGCUUUAAGAAAUGGAAGAAUGCAAGAGAAUGUUUUGACAAGCAUGUUGGUCCUAUUGGUAGUUUCCAUAAUAAAGCUAGAGAAGCGGCUAGUUAUUUAAUGAACCAAAAGACACAUAUUGAAGCAGUUGUGAUCAAAUAGUCAGAAGAAGAGUGUAUGAAAUAUCGUCUUUAUUUGAAUGCAUCAAUAGAUUGCACUAGUUCUUGUUGCGACAAGUCCGUCCUUUUUGUGGCCACGAUGAAAGUGACACUUCGAAUAAUAGGGGGAAUUAUUUAGAACUCUUGCAAUUCCUUGCGGAUCAUGAUGAGAAAAUAAAGGAAGUUGUGUUGGAAAAUGCUCCGAGAAAUCUCAACCUAAUAGCUCAUUCAAUUCAAAAAGAUAUUGUCAAUUCAUGUGCCUUCGAAACUAUUAAGGCUAUUAUGAAAGAAGUGAAAGAAAGUAAAUUCUUUUAUAUAAUGGUAUGAAUCACGUGAUAUUUCAACAAAGGAGCAAAUGGUAGUGAUUUUGCGUUAUGUGGACAACAAAGGUCAAGUAAUUGAAAGGUUCGUGGGAGUCAAACAUGUUACUGAAACAACUUCAAGUAAACUAAAGGAGUCCAUUGAUGAGUUCUUGAAACUACAUGAUUUGAGCUACUCCAACCUACGAAGUCAAGGUUAUGAUUGAGCGAGUAAUAUGAGAGGUGAGUUCAAUGGCCUUAAAAAAAAAAUUUGGAUGAAGAAAGUUGUGCAUUCUAUGUUCAUUGUUUUGCUCAUCAACUACAAUUAGCUUUUGUUGCUGUAGCAAAGAAAAACUCCGAUGUUGGCGCUUUUUUCACAUUGACUAAUAAUUUGGUGAAUGUUGUUGGAUGCUCAUGUAAGCGUCAUGAUGCACUUAGAGAGAAACAACAAGAAAAUCUCAUGAAAGCUAUUGAAAAUGAUUGUCUUGAAACGGGGCAAGGGUUAAAUCAAGAAACUAGUCUCAAACGUGCUGGGAAUACACGGUGGAAUUCACAUUAUGGUGCUUUGAUUAGUUUGAUUACAAUGUUCUCAUCUGUGGUGGAUGUGCUUGACAUGAUUGUUGAAGAUUGCUACAAUGAUAGUGCUGGUGAAGCAAAAGGUUAUUAAAAGAUUUACAAUCUUUUGAGUUUGUGUUCCUCCUCUUUUUGAUGAAAUCCAUAUUAGGAGUUACAAAUGAUUUGUCACAAGCAUUACAAAAAAAGAAGAUCAAGAGAUUGUGAAUGCAAUGGCUUUAGUCAAGACAUGUAAAGAACAACUACGUUGCAUGAGGAAUGAUGAAAAUUUUGAUCUUUUGGUUGAUAAAGUAUCAUCUUUUUGUGUUGAACAUGAAAUUGAGAUGCCUAAUAUGGAUGAUUUAUAUGUCAUUCAAGGGAAGUCAUUGCGUAAGGCUCCAAGAAAGACCAAUCGUCAUCAUUACAAAGUGGAGCUCUUUUUUGAGGUCAUUGAUUUCCAACUUACAGAAUUAGAUGAUCGCUUCACUGAAGGUAAUACCGAAUUGCUUAUUUGCUUGGCAUGUUUGAGUCUGAAUGAUUCAUUUGUAGCUUUUGAUAAAGAGAAGCUUGUUCGCCUUGCUCAGAUGUAUCCUAAAGAUUUCAUGGAUCGAGAUAAAUUGGCACUUCAAGAUCAACUUGAUAUUUACAUUCAUUUUGUGCGUUCUGAUAAUGAUUUUUCUCAAUUGCGGGGGAUUAAUGAGCUUGCUAAGAAAAUGGUGGAGAAAGGGUUGCAUCGAACGUUUGCAUAUGUAUAUUUGCUUGUUCAGUUGGCUUUGAUUUUACCGGUUGCAACCGCUUCAGUGGAAAGGGCAUUUUCCGCUAUGAAUAUCAUUAAGGGUCCAUUUCGCAACAAAAUGGGAGAUCAAUGGUUGAGUGACAGCUUAAUUGUUUACAUUGAGAAAUAUGUUUUUUCAUGUAUUGGUAAUGAAGCUAUCAUGGAACAUUUUCAGACUAUGAAACCUCAUCGUGGACGCUUGAAUUAGGAUUUUAUAGCUUGUAAUGUUGUUUUGCACAUGAUUUUUGAAUGAAAUGUAUUAUAUUUAACUUUUCAAUGUUAUUUUUGUCUAUAAAUUUUUUGACCUUUAUUAUUAGGAUCCCCCAAGUUUAAAAUCCUGGAUCCGCCACUGGCUGGGCUUUAAGGACCGUUGGUUGAUCCAACGGUCCAUAUUCAAAUUUAAUUUUUUUAGAAUAUGUUAUUUUAAAAUACAUUGAAUCCAAUGGCUGAUAUUGAAUAUAAUCAAAUCUAACGGUAAAAAAAAGAUCUAAUGGCCCAAAUUUAAAUUUAACGGCUAAAAUAAUUAAAAAAAUUAUUUAACUCAAAAUUCACCAAAAAACUCUAUAAAUACCUAUGUAUUUGUUCAAACAUCCACCCAAAACUCAAUUUUCUCCUACAAUUCUACCAAUUUAUCUUUCUACCAUUUAUUUCCAUUUCCAAAUUGUUCAACAUGGCAAUAGAGCAUAUUAGAGGUCGUAAUUGAACAUGUGAGGAAGAUGUUGCUUUAUGUUUGGCAUGAGUUUCUGUUAGCGAAGAUGGUGCAGUUGACACAAAUCCAAAUAAGAAGGUUUUGUGGUAUAAAAUCAUUGCAAAGUUUCAAGAAAACUGCAAUUGCGGCGGGCGGGAUGGUAGUGGUGUUUAUGAUCAGUGAAAGACUAUCAACAAAGCAUGCACUUUAUGGAAGGGAAGCAUUGAGAUAGCCGUGAUUGGCAUGGUUAGUGGAAAGAGCGCCACAUAAAUUAUGAGUUUUGUUCUUGAUAUUUUAUUUGUCACGUACAUAAUAUUAUUUUGCAACUAAUUAUUUUUAUGUAUUUUUUGCAUAGGGUGACAAAGCAAUGGAAAUUUACAAGACAAGAGUAACACUAAAAAAUCAAGUUUUUAAGUUGCAACAUGCUUGAGACGUCCUCAAGGAUUGUCCGAGGUGGGGAACCGAUGCAGACCAAUAAUGGGGAAGAUUAUUUCAACAUGAAGCCACACAGACAAAUGCCGGAGAUGAAGGUGUCGAUGAAAUGACCCCAUCUCCUUUUUUUGCAAGGCCCCCGAGAAGAGAUAAGCAAAAGGAAGCAAAGAGAAAAGGGAAGUCGCAAGAUUCGAUGAGUGGACACUUUGCUACCGGAAUUGCAAAAUUGAACGAAACUCAUAGCGCUUGCCAAGAAGAAACGGGCCAAAUGCGUUUGCAAAUGAAGGAAAUCUCAAAUAGGGAGUAAGAUAGAUUUGAAAUUAAUUUCAUGAUGGAAGACCUCAGUAAAUACAUUCCAGAGAGGAAGAAGUUCUUACGUGGUAAGCAAAAGAAAAUUUUACGAAAGUCUGCUUCAAGGAGUAUAUUUCAAAAUGAUGAAUCCUCUGAACCUUAUAUCCCAAGUCCUGUACGAAGUCCAUCACAAGUGAAGAUGGUGGAUAUGAUUAUUAAGUUUAUGUAGUGUAUGAAUUAUGUGUUUUAUUAAUUAAGUUUAUGUAGUUCAUUAAUUAUGUGGUUUAUGAAUUAUCGGUUGUAUUAAGUUUAUCUGGUUUAUGUACUUUAUUAAAUUUAUGUCUUAUUAAUUAUUGUUUCUAUUAAUCUAGAUGCCUUCAAUAAUUAUUGUACUUAUUAUUCCACACUUUGAUGUAUAAUAAAUGCUUUCAAUAAUUCAAUCUCCAUUCAAUAAUUUAUCCAACGUACUAAACAAAAUACUUUGCACAAUAAGACACUUAAAUUUAUUAUUAGAAAAUAACAACAUAGUACACUUAAAAUUAUUACAUAAAUGCUUAACCAACAUCAUCAAUGUUCACCUUCUCAUCAGUUGAGUCUGUAGAGCACCCAUUAGCUAGCAUGCAAAAAGCAGAUGUGAGCUUCUGAUGAAGUGAUAGACAUUGUCAGCUUGCGACAUCUAUCAUACUUGCAAAGUAGUGGUCAUGAAAGUUCAGCUUCAGCGUCGAACAAUUCUGCAUCCUCAAUCUCAAUCCUUGCUUGGUUUUGUGCCAUAUGCAUUGCCAUGCUACCCCUUAUUCUAUCACCCAUUGAAAGUUGAAAGAUUGGUGAAUAUAGAGGAUUUUUAGGAACAAAAAUUCAUUGAAAAUUGAAAGAUUGGUGAAUAUAUAGGAUGAUUGAAGGUUGAAAGGUUGUAUGAUCAACUAAUAUUGGACGUAUGUUUAUAUAGAGGAUGAUUGAUGAAAGUUGAACGGUUGGUGAAAGUUGAAAAUUUGGUGUUGAACAGUUGGUGAAUUGAAAAUUUGGUGUUGAACGGUUGGUGAAUUGAAAGUUAGCCUAGGGUUGAAAGAUUGGUGAAAGUUGAAGGCUUGCUUUAUGGAAAAUUUAGUGAUUUUUUAAUAUUUAUCGGAAUUUAAAUAUUUUUAUAUUAAAAUGUUCAUAAAAUUAAUUUACGAUAGUCUAUAUAUUUAUUUAUUUUUUAAAAUUUAACUGAAGAAAAAAAUAGCCUAAGUUCAUUAUUUAAUAAUUAUGAGCUAAAAUUUUAGGUCAGAAGGGUUUGAGCAGAAAAGUUGUUUCUGAGCUAAAAAUGUUGGCUUUUAACCCAACCAUUGGAGUUGAUCUAAUAGGGUAACCCUUGAACUAUUUUGUAUUGACCAAUUUGCACCCUACCUUUAAGAUUUUGAAUUUCUGACCACUUUUUUUUUUGUUGAUUUCUUUUUAAUUUCUAAACAAAAACAAAUGAAUGAGUGAAAAUUGUUAAUUUAGAUUUUGAUAUAAUCAUGGAGUGCAACACACUUAUUUGGGUUGGUUGUGUCAUCUUUGCUUGAUCUUUCUUUUAUUUCCUUCUAUUUUGAAUCAAUAUAAGUGGAGAAAUCAAGCAUUUUGCUUUGAAGAAUAAUAUCGAAAAAAAUCUCAAGAAUGGCAAGGAUAAUUUUCUACUAUAUCGGGAAAGUAUCAAGGAAAAAAAGGUAAUUUUCAGCUAUGAUGAGAAAAUCUCAAAAGUAUGAGAGGAUCCGAAUUUUAAUUUGAUAACAAAACUGAAGUUUAAUAUUCUAUUUUAAACUAAUCUAAAUUAUAAUAUGGAUAUUUAAAUUAAAAAAUAUAUUCGCUUCGGCCAAUGCAACUACCACUGAUCUAAAAAAGAAGUAAUUUUGGUUUCCUUCUUUUGGGUAAUGCAAAGACCCAAAAUUAGAAUCAUAAUACAAAAAAAUAAAUAUGCAUUUAUUCCCGAAAUUAGAAAAAAAAAAAGUAAUUAUUAAUCAAAUUUCAUGUUCAUGUGGGUGAACCCGUGGCAAGUGGCAGCAUAAAAUCCAUUUGAAUUUGAGGAAUUUAAUUUAAAUUAAUAAUGAAGUAAUCAACUUUGCACUUCAAUCGCUCUCCAAAUUCGCGGGAACACCAUGGCAGCCGCCGCUCAGGGCAGCUCUCUUCUCUGCUCCUGCCGCAGCAGACCAUGCACAACCAGAACAACCCUAUCCCCUUUCGGUCCCUAUCCCUUUCUCUCUCCUCUCACCCCCAUUGGCGCAAGCUCCAAACAGUUGAAGCUUUCGAAUUCCAGGUUCUCUUUCUCCUCUAUCUCUAUAUAGGGUUUCUAGGUGAAUUUGAGAAAUGAAUUGUCAAUUAAUUUACAUAUUUGCAGGACUGGUAGGGUUGUUUCUGCUGUGGUUUCUGAGGAGAACGCAAUUCAAUCAAGUUUCUCUGGCACCGAUGGGUUCAAGCUCACUUAUUUGGAGGUGGGUUUUCAAUUUUCUUAUUGGUACUUCUUAAAUUUGAUUACUUUUGGGGAUUUUUUUUUACUUGAAUAAAUGUUUACUUUUAGGGGAAUAGUUGGUUGUGGGAUGUGGGUGGGGUGAAAAUACUGGUGGAUCCAAUCUUGGUGGGUAAUUUGGAUUUUGGAAUCCCCUGGCUUUAUGAUGCUGCGAAGAAGUUUUUGAAGAAUUUCCAGGUACUCCUUUAGCUUCGAAAUCAAUUUUUUGAAGCAAAUUUGCCUUCGAUUUUCCUUUUUAAUUACGCAUAUGUUGCCAUUAUUUUGUAGAAUGUUGUGAAGUUGAUAGGCCUGUUUUGAUUGGGUUUGCAACUUUAGUGCAGUUAAGUGAUAUUCCAGAAGUUGAUUGCUUGCUUAUUACACAAAGUCUUGAUGAUCACUGCCAUUUGAAGACAUUAAAGCCCCUCUCCGAAAAGUACCCGAAUCUUAGAGUAAUAGCUACACCAAAUGCUAAGGCCUUGUUGGAUCCCCUUUUCAGCAAUGUGAGUUUGAAACUAAUGUUUUGUUUAAGGCUGCAGCUUCUUGAAUGUUAAUUUUGUUUUUAUUUUAAAUUUUUUAAUAUACGCUGUUUAUCCAGGUUAGGCAUGAACAAUCUCUACAGUCACCACCAAAGAAACAACGAUGCACUUAAAUAAGCAAUGCCUUGUUUCUUAAAAACUAGUGUAGUUUUUAUAAUUGGGGUAUAUAAUCCGGCUGCUGUGUUGGGUUUAUUGUGCAUCUGUUCCCUCUUAAUUUUUGGUUAAUACAUGUGCUACUAAGAUGGUGGACAUUACUACACAAAUUCUAUUCCUAAAUUUUACCUUUCGCAACAACUGAAGUUACUGAACCUUACUGUCAUUACUUCAACUUGGCUCAAUUGUUCCUGAAAAUUGCAAUGCUGGCAUGCAAGAUAUUCCCAAAGCCGUAGAUGAAGUCGCAUUCCGUGUUUCUAUUUGAGAUUUACACUAAUUUUGUUUAGGUCACAUAUCUAGAACCUGGCCAGAGCUCCAUUAUUGAAGCAGGAAAUGGUUCUACAGUCAAAGUUCAGGCCACUGCAGGGCCAGUUCUAGGUCCUCCUUGGCAGCGCCCCGAAAAUGGGUAAGGUGUCAUUUUUCUUAUUGCGAUUGUAACACUAGUGAAUUCCAUUGGCAAGGAAUGAAAUAAAAAGGAAUGAAGUUAAUGGAAAAUUCUUCUUGAUUGAUUGAAUUAAUAAUUACAACAGAGAGAGCAUAUAAAGCUUUUGCUAAUUACAAUGAAGUCCCUAACCAUCUUUACUAAUUACAAUUACAAGUGUAAACAAACUUCUUAAUGACUGAACUUAAAUUGUUGACUGUAUUGGAUGGCUUGGCUUGUAGAUUUUCCUCUUUAUGAAACAGUUCCUUGUAAUAUGUUCUUUAGUCUUUGGUUAAAUGGAUAUUAACGAGAUGUUAUAAUAUGUGGACCAGAUAUCUUGUCAUUUAUCCAGAAGGGAAAUCUACACUUUACUAUGAACCCCAUUGUGUAUACAAUACAAGUUCACUCGAGAAGGAAAGAGCUAACAUUAUUAUCACACCGGUCAUAAAGCAGCUUCUGCCUAAAUUUACCUUGGUCUCUGGACAAGAAGAUGCAGUUCGACUUGCAAAGCUGCUGAAUGCCAAGUACAGAUUCUUUAUACCUUAAUACUAACAUAUACAUAAAGAUGGUUUUACUAGACACAUAUCAACGUCUUUGUUUUACAUUUUGUAGGUUCAUUGUCCCGAUGACAAAUGGGGACUUGGAUGCCAAGGGGCUUCUUGCUAGUUUAGUUUCGGCUGAAGGAACAAUCGAAUCAUUCAAGGUUGUUUUCUUCUUCUCACGGUUUUUUCUACGGUGAAGUAUUAAGAUUUCUUUGUGCAAUAUUAUCACAAUUGAAGUUGUGGUUAUUAAAUGCAGGAACUUUUGUCCAAGGAAUUACCAGAUGCACAGGUACUGCAGCCUACUCCUGGUGUGCCGCUAGAAAUCCCGCUACCUCCAAAUCUUCCGUAAUAUGUUUUCUGCAGAAGAUAUACAGACACUGUAGCUCACUGAAAAUAUGUACACAUCUCAUCAAACUCGUAAUUUGUAAAUGUCUGUUUAUUUUAUUGAUACCAUUUGUUCACUUUUAAUCUGUAUUCAAAAGCAACUCCAAGUAGGCUUGGCCUCUGAGUUACAUAUGAGAAGCUGGUUCACUUGAACAAUAUUCCAUUUUGGAAUAGUUAUUGGGACAUCGGAGGCACAAAUAUUUGUAAGGCCCACUUAGCUAGUGGUAGAGGCAUGCCACUUAAUAAAAUGACAGACAUGCUUUCCAAUUAGCUAUUCCGUUUAGUAAAUUUUUUUUUUUUUCAAUAUUGAAGGGAGGGUUUCUUUAGUUCACAUUAAAAGUACAAAUUUAAGUUACAUAUCUGAGUAAAAGCCGUUAAAUUAUUUAACUUAGUGCUGGUUUGAGAAUGAUGUGUUUUGAAAAAAAACUGAUUCUGUUGUGCUGUGAGAAUAAACAGCUGUGAAAUAAAACUAUAGAGUGUUUGGUAAAUUUUUUUGUAAAAGUGUUUAUGGAAAAAAAAAACGGUAUUAUAAUGUUUGGUAAAUUUUUAUGUAAAACAGCUGUGAUUAUAUGAAAUAACAAAAAAACGGCAUCGAGUAGUUUCUCCCACUACUGAACUAGACUUUCCAAAAACCAAAAACAUCUCUCUAGACGUCUCCCACACAACCCCAAUUUUCUCAGUUUUUAUAUUUUUUGCUCCGUCUUCUUCUUUUUUAUUUUCUGCUCCGUCUCUUCUUUUUUAUUUUCUGCUCCAUUCCUCAAUCUCUCUCGCAUGUCAUUCCUCAAUCUCUCUCGCAUGUCAUCUGAUUUAAGGAGCUAAGAAAAUCUACUCGUAACCCUGCAGCUGCUGAAGAAAUCAAAGAUUUUGAGGGAAACCCAAAAUCCGAAAAGAGGGAAAGAAAUGAGAAAAAUGCAGAGAACCUGGUUUGGGGUUGAAGACGUGGUUGGGGGAGAGAGGGAUUCUCCCGCAAAUCGCAGUCUCCAUGAAUCGAUCUUUCUUUUUUCUUGUGCUGCUGCUUCUGCUGCAAUGCGUCGUGCGAUUUUAUUUAUUUAGUUACAGGAAUUUUCUGUUUUGGUUUAAACAACCGAAAUAACAAGAAAAAGAUCGAACAACUGGUGGACUCCUGUGCUCUGUCUGGUGGGACUUCUGGUUUUCGCAAUCCAUAAGACGGCGUCGUCUUGACCCUACCAAGUACGAACACUGAAAAUAAUUUUUGUCAAAUUAUAAAUCCAAUUUCUUCACCAAAAUAAAUGAAUAAAUACAUAAAUAAAUCCAAUUUAAAAUGAAAAUCCGAAAUGAGCGGUGGGUUAGGCAUCUCCAAUGUACUAGUUCAGUUUCAUUAACGCAAUUUAUAGUUAAUGUAAUUUGGGUCUUGAAUUUUUAUUUUCAGUCAGUUUAUACUUUAUACUUAUAAAAAUAAGUUAAUGUGAGCAUUCUGUCGACUUGUUAAGAUUUUAUUUAUUUUAUGAAAUCCUAUAAGUUGACAAAAGACUUCACAAUGACUUAUUUUAUCAAGCACUAAACUUUAGGGGUGUGAUAUCCACACAUCAUUUUUUACUUCUCACACAUUCUUCUAAGUUUCGGCCGUUAGAUCGGGUGAAUUGAAAAAGAUCAAAGAGUAGACAUUAAUAAAGAGUGUGUGAGAAGUAAAAAGAAGUACGUGGAUAGCACACCCCAAAAUUUAUUGUAACUCUUGACUAUUAAAUUUUUGAUCGUACAUUCAACCCUCAAUUUAUUAUUAGUUUCAUGUAUAAGUUAUAACGGAACAUAUUAGAUUUUUCGCAAUUUUGACACUAGGUGAAAAUGCAGAGAGCAAAAAAACGUAACUGUCCUUUUUUAAGUUUUGCUCUCACGGCCACUUUCGUCUCUCACUUCAUCUGUGUCUGUAGGUCUCCCCCUUUGAACUCUUCUCGAUUAGUUAUUCAAAUUCCAGUUAUUUAACCAUGACCGUCAGGAAAAAAAAAAAAAAGAGGAUUUCCAAGUUAAAGAAAGCAGGAAAGAAGAAAGCUGCCGAUCCGUUUACGAAAUAUGAAGAAAGAUUGGUACGACAUCAAUGCCCCUCGUCUGUGGUUCUAUAACAACAACGUGGGUAAAACUCUGGUCUCCCGUACUCAGGGCACCAAGAGUGCUUCCGGAGCACUCAAACAUCGACUUUCGGAGGUCUCAUAAACUUUUGGGGGAUGAAUUUCACUAUGGACAAGCUGAGGUCCUUGGUAAGGAAAUGGCAGACUUUGAUGGAAGCUCACGUAGAUGUGAAGACGACAGACAAUUAUACUUUAAGGAUGUUCUGCAUUGGCUUCUCUAAGAGACGUCAAAAUUGGGUCGGUAAGCGCUUGAUAACAUUACACAUCAGAAAACACUUCAAGUUCAAUAUUUUAGAAGAAAAAACUAAAUUACCCUACUUAAUCUGCAUGCAACUUUUAGCACGAUUAAUGUGUUUCAGUAUGAAACUUAUAAUUGUUCGGGAUCUUUUUUUCUUUCUUUCUUCUAAUUUACUAAAUAGGUUAAGAAGACCUGCUACGCACCAGCCAGAUUAGGCGGAUCCGCUGCAAGAUGAGGGAGAUCAUGGUCGCGUGGGCGACAACAAGUGAUCUGAAUGACUUUGUCAAAAGGUUGAUGGCUGAAAGUAUAGGUAGAGAUAUUGAGAAGGAGAUGCUGAGCAUCUUUCCUUUACAAAAUGUGUUUAUCCAUAAAGUCAAGAUGUUGAAAGCACCCAAGUUUGAUCUUGACAAGCUGAUGUAUAUUCAUGGUUAUGAAGACCUUGGUGUCAAGGUUGAGAGCCCUGAUCAUCAAGAAGAAACUGCCCUGGAAUAAAACGUAGGACAGUGAUGUUUUGCUUUAAACUAAUCCCAACUGCGGGGAGGAGGAUUCGAACUCAAGUGCAUAAUAGAGCAUAACUAGUCUAGCGAAUGCAGCUAUGCCCAAGUUUAUAGAUAUCAUCGAAGGUUAAUUGUUGCCAGCAUUUUUUUUUAUUUUCUUCUACUUUAAAGUUGCUCGAAUUAUGUUUUGUGAAAUUUCUCUGAGGACAAAGAACCACUUAUUCAUUUCCCGCCAUUUAUGCGGUAUAUGAAUAUGAAUUUUUCAUGACAAUAUAUUAGAUAACACUACUCCAAAAGAGUAUUUUGACUUGAAAUUGCUUAUGGUAAAGCAAAUGCACAACCAGAACCUAGCAUUAAAAAGUAGAAACAAAUGAAAAUGAUACACGAGUUGCUUGGUACGUAGCUUGGCGUUAAAUAUGAUCCACUCUAAUUAAAAGACAGCAUGCUUGAUUAAUUCUUGAAGGAAGAGGAUGACAGAACACUAGUCCUUACUAGUUACUCCGCAACUUGGAUAAUACAUAAUUUUCGUCUGAUUAGUGGCAUAAUAAUCCGCUUAUAUAUCGUUAAUUACGUGUAAAAACGAUAUGUUGAUGCAUCAGCAAUGAUAUUACGAAAACCUCCAACUGUGGAAGCCAACAUGAUGAACACUCCGAUGAAUAUGCAAACCUGUAAACACACACAAUCCUCAUAAAUAAACUUUUUUGUAGCAUGAUGUAUCAAUUUGCGAUAUCGACAACAAGGAACAUUAGAUAUCUUUGGCUUACCCAGUUGACGAGCCAUUGAAUGCUGUAUCUCUUUGGUUUCUUAAUUCUCAGCCACAUUAUACAAGGAAGCUGUUGAAAAAAUGCUCACUUAGUUAAUUUCUUUCUGAUGAUGUAGUUCUGUAAUUUGUGCAAGAAACAAAUUAAGAAAUCAAAUAGAGUGAGAUAGGCUUACAAAGUAUGAAGUGGGGGCAAAACCAAAUCCACCAAAGAAACCAAGAAGGUCUCCAAAGAAAGGGAAGGUGACUCCAACAAAUAAUGUAAAUGCUGCAACAAUAUAGUGAUUAGGAACUUAAUUAGGGUUUAAUCAAGCAGAAAUGACAGAGAUACGGAGACGUAUGGGAAAUGGGAAUCUCACCAACAUAAGCUGAUCUCGUGAUUAGUCUAAGUGCAAUUCCAGGUGGGAAGUUCAUCUUUUUCACCAUCAUCCUCUCAAGCAUGUCAAAAACAGGCAUAGCAUAAACCUGCACACUUUUCAGUCACAUCCUUAAUUUAAUGUAGUUCUAAUAUUAAUGAGAAACACUCAAAGAAUCAAAGCAUAGAUAAAAGCCAUCUCCUAUCAACUGUUAAAGUCGGAGUCACUAAUGGUCGGAUCAGUUCCAAUUAUUUCUUUUCAAAAUAAUGUUUAAAGUGUGUGUUUUUACGAUAGAAAACACUUCUAAUCAUUAUCAUUUAUAUUAGAAGUGCUUUUGUUAUAAAUUUAAAAAAAAAAUUAGAUAAUUCCAAGUGUUUCCAAAACUUUUAUAAAAUAUAUUUGGAAGUGCUUUCUAGAAAAACACUCAAAAAUGCUUUUAAGUUUUUAUGUCAAACGUAAUCAAAAGCAUUUUUAGUUGUCUGCUUUUGUAACUGAGUGCAGAUUUAUACCUGGUAGCUGCCAAUGACAUGGACGACAACCAUUAGGUUAGCAGCAGCAAUGAGCCAUGUAGGUUUUUUAAGAUCUAUGAGCACGUUAUCAUCGACAUCUUGACCAAAGCCCAGUACCCGAUGAGGGCCACCGGGAAAUAGCAAAUUGCGUUGAUAAAGUAGGCUCCUAGAGCACCUUUCCACAUGGGAAUUCUCGACGGCUUCUCAGGCGUCGAUGGAAUUGUGGCUUGGAUUUCAAGCACCACUGCAUGCCCAGCAAAUGCAAACGAGAUUUGACCUAAUGCAUUGAAAACCCUAAACAUGUAAUCUGCAGGGCUUGUUUUCUUGUAUGCAUAGCUCACGUUUUCAACCUGACCUUUGCUUAAGCAACCUGCCCACGCUAUAGUUGAAUAACUGCAAAUUAACAACAAAUUCUAGUUAUUAAGAAAAAUUAUAUAUUAUUUGCCUUCUAAAGUUCUCUUGUUAGGUUUACGAGUAAAUCUUCCGUAGGGUUGUCCUACUAUUGGUAGAACUAGAGCAUGCAUCUCUAUCCAAAUUUUUCUCGAAUUUUAAAAGGAAAAUAUUCACAAAUAAAAUUAGAAGGCACUAAAACAAUAACAUAAAUAUUGUGCAACGUACUAGUGUAUUAUUUGUUUAGUAACUUUCUAGUUUUACUUUUAAUUUAAAAGUUCAUAAGUAGUUGUCACUUAUACGAAUAGUGGAAUAUAUGUGUUAAAAAAUUAAACUUUCUGCCACUUAUAUAAUAACAUGUGGUGUACCACUUGUGUUCCCGUCAUAAUGAAAAUUUUCUCCUUUAACUUGAGUUUGUGUAAAGUACGUAAAAAGGAAUUAAUUUCUGCACACUCCCUCUUCUUUUUUUUCUGUUUUUUUUUUAACAGGUUUUGUUUGGCCUAAAGCAAGUCUUCUAAAUCAGAUUUUCCUUCUCAUGGAAAGUGAAAAUUAAAAUUACUACCUUAGUGACAUGAUAGCUGCUGCUAGAGAAACACCAGCAACAGAGUUGAAAUUGGGGAGCUGGGAAAGAAAGAAAUGAAGGGAACCAAAGAUGACAAUCCAGUACGAUUGCUUGACUGGUGUGCAAUUGGCACAUGCCAUCUCCACAAAUUUCUUUAGACACUUUCCUCCGGUGACCAUGUACACUAUGUCACAACCAACCUGCACAAUCAUUUGUUGCGGAAGCACAAUCCAUGGCCCGAACUUUGGUCCGAAGGCGUGUCGGCCAAGGUCGAUGUAUCGGUCAAACCUAGUUCCCGGAACACAUUCAUGGAGCUGAAUCAUCUGCCACAUUGUGUUCAAGGUCAUGCACCAUGAUAUUACCAGCACCAUUGUCCCUGGACCCCUGAAAAUUAAAGGUAGAAAAAAGUAGGGCUUAUUAGUAUAUUAAUACAAGUACAACUCGUAUAUGUAUUAUUAUCAUGAGUUGGGGUGUUUUGUACCAUCCUAAGAAGGCCAUGGCAUACGGCAGGCUGAGUACACCGGCACCGAUCAUGGCGGUGACUGUGUGAAAGGUGGAGUACCACCAUUUUGCUCGGCGGGCGUUGUCCACCGGCUCCUCCUUCCAUUUGUCGUCUGAAACAACUUCCUGCCAUAGUUUCAAGGACAAGAACGAACAAACAGAAAAAUCAGAGUGGAAUUUGGAAAACGUCGUGUGAAUAAAGAGUGGUGAUGCUCACCUUUGGAGGAGGAGAAGUUGUAACCAUUUUUUUUCUCUUCUUUUGCGAUGAAGACAGAGAAACACUUUCAAUGUGGGAGUUGAUUGGUCGUCAUCAUGCUGUACGUAUAUAGUGGUUUCCUGGCCCGGAAUAUAGGCAGAAAUGUGGGAUAGUACAUUCCAAAACCCCACUCAUGCAUUUAUUUUUAGCUUUUUUUUUUUAACACAGGGACUUGUGCUUUUCCAGUUGAGUGAGAAAUUUUUAGUUGUGACGAAAACAUGAGUGGUACACCACGUGUUUUUAUGUAAGUGGUGGAAAAUUUUACUUUUUAAGUUAUUAACUUUUUAACACACAUAUCCCACUAUUUAUAUAAUGACACGUGGUGUAUCAUCCGUGUGACGGUCACAUUAAAAAAUCUCUCCAGUUGAGCAAUCGUGAAUCAUAUAGGAAAAAGCGGUAAAUAAUUUAGUAAAUUAAGAUGAUAUAACAAAGGGAAAGAGAUCCUUUCCGGAUCUCUUCCUUCACAGUCCAGGGAUCAAUUGAUCCAGAUCCUUGAAAUUUGAUCCACCGGUCAAAAAUUAUUAUAACUUUUAAAAGUUUUUACUAACUUUUUAUUUAUUUAUUUAUUUAUUUAUUUUUACUAACUUCUUUGUUUUUAGCCGUUAAAUCAAAUUUCAAGAGACCGGAUCACUUGAUCCUUAGGCUUUGAAGGGAGAGAUCCGGAGAUAUCUCUUUCCAUAACAAAACCCCUUGUAUGUACUUGGCAAACGAUGUUAAAGUUUUAAACCCUCCACUUAAAAUUAUCUAAAGUGACACGAGCUAAUAUUGCAAACAAGGUUUUACGAGACUUCACAUUUGUCAUACUAGCAAUUAUACACGUUUAUGGUGGCUAAAACUUUUUGGUGAGGAACCUCCAAAAUAUUUUUCGUCGCUGAAGAGGCUUUUUAUAUCUUUAGCGAUUGCUUAUGCAUAUCUAUUUCAUACUAGGAGUUUAUUUUAUUUAGGAGAAAAAUAAGGGAAAAAAAAUGGAGGCAACUGAUAUGAUCACCUGGCCAUGAAACUUUGAAAAAUAAAAAAUAGUAAAAUUAAUUUGUGUUUAAUUUUACUAUAUUGCCAGUGACUUUUAUGUUGGUUAUUUUUCUUUAUUUUGUUGGUAGGGCUAAUUUGAUCAUUUCAAUCUCUUUUGGUUGACAAAUAGAGUUUUGUUAAUAAAUAUUUUAGAUUAUGUGGUUGGAGAGAGGUAUGGAUUGGACUUUCUUAUUAAGUUAGUUUCUUACAUUGAUGAGACCAGUAUGAUAUACGAUCAUGAGACCUAAUACAAGAAAUUUUAUGUCAAAUGGCUCUAAAGAUAACAUGCAACACGUGAGUUUAUAUAUGAAAGAUAUGUUUCUUAAAACGGGCACAAACAAAUUUUUCUCCAAAAUUACUCAAGAUAACUAGGACUGUGGUUUGAUGAUAUACUCCACCCACUUUGAUGCUAUAUACAAAGGAAUCUAAGGACCCCAUUUUGAAAAGCAUUAUUCCAUUAAGCUCCCCAUUUUGACAAGCAUCAUUUCAUAAACCUCCCUUGUCAAUUUUUCUUUACACAAAAAGUUCUUAUGUGCAAUUAUUUAUUUCUAUCCCAAGUUUUGAACCAAUGAUUAAAGAGCUUAGUUGGUGGUGAAUGGAGCCACCUAAAUUGAAUGCGUUGGCAUUAUAAAGAGGGAAUAGUUUGAGGGGUUAAUGAUUAAAGAGCAAGUGAAGGAAUGCUCUUCGUGUAUGGGAGUCGCUGGUGGGGGCUCUUUUUCUUUCUUCUUUUCGAGUGUCCCCUGUGGCUUUGCUAUUUGCAUCCCCAAAAGCCAAUGACGAUUGACUGCUACCCACUUCUUACCACAAAAUAACAAGUAUUAUAUGAUUAUAUCUUGUUUAAUUAAUCUUACACUAAUUCAACAUCAUGCUUAUAUCAUACAACAUGAGUAAUGCUAUUCAUAUUAUGUUUUUAUACCACACUAGGUGGCAUCUGAUGUCAAUAGCCACAUCAUUUGAAAAAUUUGCAAAAUCCGAGGAAAUGAAGGAGAAAGACUUCUCUUAUACCACAAUCAUCAUUUAAUUAACUAGUUUUUCUUAAUUAUUAGUUUAUUAAAUAAUGAACUAAAUUUAAAAAUCUGAUCAAUUCAAAUAAUUUGGCUGUCCACAUCAAAUGCAAUCUAAGGUGGUAUGAAAAUGUGGUACAAAAACUUGGUAUGAAUAGCGUUACGACAAUUGUAGGUUUUAUGACGGUUUUUGUAGAAAUUUGUAAAACCGAUUAAAAACUGCAAGUUAGACACCCAUUAAACCCAUAACGUCCUCCAGAUAGCAAACGAACGAGGGGAGUUUAUAACAGAUGUUGCGAAGACUCGUUAUAGUAGUCAAGGACUAGAUGAAACUCCAAGCAGAUUGACUACCUCCAGACCUUAAAUCCUCAUCUUGAACAAAACCAGCACUUAAUUAAUAAGCAUAUUUAACAGUAAAGCAUCCAUUAGAAGAAGAACCCAAAUGCAGGAAUCACUUAUCGGGCAUAUCCCCUUUAACAUCAGUAGGGUUACUUGUUAGUCCGCCGUACGACAUCGGCACGAAGAACAUUCAAAAGCAUCACAAAUUUCUAUCGAACGCAAGUCAAGUAACUAGCCACAGUUUCAUAAUUUUCAUCUAAAAAGAUAGGCCUCUGAAACUGAUAAAUAAAAGUCCGAUCAUUAGGGGUUACAAUGGCUGAUAGUAAAGUUAUUUAUAUGCGAGUCCCCGAGUGUUUAUAACAAGUUGAAGCUCUUAUUUAACCCAUAAAGCCCCCUCCAGGCAUAUUAGGCCCUUGUGACGAAACCUGUCCCUGUGAAACUAAUUGCGACCGGCCUUGAACAUAAGCUUGAGUCAUCCCCGUCCCAACCAACUGUUGUUGUUGAUGCUGUUGAUGCUGUUGCUGCAAUUGCUGAAGCUGCGGCAGUUGCUGUUGUGAUUGAAGUUGUGAGAGCUGCUGCUGCGAGAGUUGCUGCUGUUGUUGAAUCUGAGGGUGCUGAUGUUGAAUCUGUGGAUGUUGUUGUUGAAUCUGAGGAUGCUGUUGUUGCUGACCGGGUACUUGCAUUUGUUGCUGCUGUUGCUGACCCGGUACUUGCAUUUGUUGCUGCUGUUGCUGACCGGGAACUUGCAUGUGUUGUUGCUGACCGCCUACUUGAAUUUGUUGCUGCUGUUGCUGACCAGGAACUUGCAUGUGUUGUUGCUGACCGCCUACUUGAAUUUGUUGCUGUUGUAGCUGUUGCAUUUGCUGCUGCUGCUGCUGCUGCUGCUGUUGCUGACCACCUACUUGUGGUUUAAACACAACCAUAUCCUGAACCGAUGGUAGAUUUAGCUUUAACAAAAACCAGGUUGUAAGAAGGUUACAAUGCCGAGCCACAAACUCAAUUUGGAGUACCACCACAGGCCUCCAUUUCAGAAAGAAGUUAAAACAGAAGUUGCAGGAUAUGCAGGGAACCUUCAGAACUAAAAGCACCUUAUACAGGCUAGAAAGGUCUUUAACGAUCCCCACAAAAUUUUCGCAAAAUAAAAGGUCCAUUUUCCAGGUUUCUUUUAGUAAUGAAGGUACCUCACAUAUUUGUUGUGGAUUUAGCUCAGAGUUGGUGGCUAUUACUUUAUAUUGGCAAAAAACUAAUAAUAAGGAAUUACAAUCCGCGGUAAUAAGAAUGGUCUAACUAAUAACAAGCUCACCCCUGGAAACAGCAUUCCAAUCAAGCGAUAUGCUUUGUCUGAAACAGAGAGCAGUAGUGUCUGAGAGGGCAAUUGGAUCACUGCACACUGAAAAAGUGGGAAAUCAGCUUUUUGAGAAGAAAAAAAAACAUAUCAGAAUAGUCCUCGGUUUCAUGUUCACAUUCAAAGGAAAACUAUUGCAGGUGGUCAAAUAAAAUAGAAGAACUAGCUUUUGAUGCUGAAGUCUCACAUGGAUGAUACCAGAAUCAAGAAUUACCCCACUUCAAGCCAAGAGAGCCAAUUAAAUGCAUAAAUUUAGUUUAUCACAGCAUUUAGAGGUUCUUGAGUUUAAACAGAUAAUUAACCAAGUUCAUAUGAGAAUGUCACACAGAAUCUAAGGAAGUACUCUGCCAUAUCAGAAUUUACAGAUAAUCAAGUGGUAAUCCAAGAUGCUUAGAUUAAUAUAUAUAACAGAAGACGAUGAUUAGGCAAGUGGGUAAGGACUUUUAAGGGAUAAAGUGGAAGCGGCAAGAAAUUGGAUAGCAAAUUAGCAAUGAGGACAAUUUUUGAGUCUCAAAGGAAAAAGUGGUAAGGUAAAAUAAAGAGAGUAGACAGCUUACAAGUUUCUUCUCUUGCAAUUGCCCAAGAAACCCAUGCUGAUUCAUUGCCCGAAAAACUAAAAAGUCUGCCUUUCCAACAUAUUGCCUGAAUUAUAAAUAUUGAUGAAGUCAAGAAAACUGAGGAAUAUAACAUCAGGAGGAAAAUAUUACACAGAAAAAUAAAGGAGGGAAUGUUUUCACUAAAUUGUAAUUACUUGUUAUUCAUGUGGUCCUGAGAUAUGAGCCUCACUAUUUGCAUUGUUGGUGGCCAGUUCGCCGCAAGCCUGAGGAGUGAAAUAAUGCACAUCAAUAAAUAAACGCCAAUGACACAUUUUACCAUAGUCUGAGAUUAAGAUUUUAUUGUACACUAAAGCACCAACCAAUUAAGGCCAACUAAAGAGUUCUGAUCAAAAUACAUUCAACCUCACGCCACUAUUCUUACAGCAUGUCAAGAUAUUAGGAUUCUAAGAAUGAAGGUAACUAAAUUUUUAUUUUAACCAAAGAAAAAGCCGUCUGCUUUGAUAAGUUAGAAAUAUUAAUAGUCAUAGACCUCUUUUUCUACAUAAAAGAAUUAAAGUUAAAAUAGAAACUUUAAACCAUUGAUUACAUUCCAUUAACAUCUAUUUGAAACAAAAAGAAGAAAGAGUACUCCCGACUUACGUCUCAGAAGCUGAAGCACUCCUGUAACCCUGACAAAAUUAGAAAGCAUUUGUGGAGUCAACAAAUAAUUAACUGCUAAAAUUGUAAAAGAUAACUAAGAGAAAUAUAAAUAAUCCCAUGUCGUUAGGCCCUAAACAUGCCUCAUGCUGUGGUUUAAUUCAGGAUGCUCACACCCUUAUGGUUAUCAAAUUGUCUAUAAAAAUAGAUGCUAUUGAUAGCACACUUGAAAUAACUAUUUAUGGAUUGUUCAGUGUUUUCGGCAAUUUUUGUUCUCUCUCCUCCUCCAACAAAUAUAUUAAAACUCAAACCAAAUGCAUAAUACUUUUGAAUUCAAAUCACUCUGAAGCACAAUCACAAGGAAACAUAGAGAACUUUUUUCAGAAAAAUUUAAGUUCGACAUAAAUAACUAUGGUUAUCCAUGACAGCACAUUGGGUUGAUUCAAUGGCAAUUUGGAAUUUCCCUCUCCGGUGAUAGUUUAUCAGUGGUGUUUUGGGUGAAGAGUAGUUUGUGGAUAUCAAAGAAAUGAUGGUCAGAUGGUUUACCAAUUUAUAUGGAAACAUACUGAAAAUCCUCAUGUGCCAAAGUCACACACAUGCUCCAUUUUUCUCUCAAAAAUAAUGAUUUUGUGCAAUGCAAGAAACCAGACGUAAGAGUAUCACAAAAUAAACCACAGUUUCCAUGUCAUCCAACAAGGCAACGGAGAACGAACCUCCAAUCUAGUGAUAAACACAGGCUGCCCUUGUCUCUGCCCAGAUAAAGCUCCCUGCAUGUAUUUUGAUCAUUCAAGUAUGAGUGAUUGCGGAAUACCACAGUAAAACAGGACCAACCAUCUUUAAAACUUUCGUGAUAUUCUAGCUUAAAAAAGUUACCACCAGAAGUUUGAAAAUCCAACCGUAUUUUUUUAAAAGACCUACCUCCCAGACUUUCACAUAUUUGGAUUGUGCAGAUGCCAGAGCACUUGAUGUCUGUUGUGAAAAUGGCACAUUAGAUGCUGAAUUAUUGUUUGCACCAAGUGACUGCAUCCCAGAUUGCACCUGUUGAGCCAUUCCUGGAGUAGGAAUCAUUGUACCAGUUCCAGAAGAGGCACCUGUUGAACCAAGGGCACUCAUCAUGUUUGGGUUCAUGCCAAUUCCACUUUGAACCAUUUGCGGUCCCGAGAGAUUUCCUUGGCUCAUACCAGGCACAGCUUGACCCAUACUAACACCACCUUGAAGGUUGCUCAUUGGUUGUGACAUCCCAAGGUUAUUGUUGCUCAUUGGUUGUGACAUCCCAAGGUUAUUGUUGCCAGAGACAUUAGAGGUACCUGAAGUGAAUGAAUUAAGACCUGGGUUCUGCGCAACCUGUGUAAGAGUGCCGGACCCGGAAGAUGAAAAUACAUUUUGAGCAGCACCAACUGAAGAUGCCAUUCCACUAGAUAUCAUGUUUGAUACAUGCAUGGCCAUAGGAUUUUGACCCAUAGUUGGGAGUCCCAUAGAAGUUCCUCCAGUUAAGGCUGCUGCGUUCAUCACGCGUGCUUGAGAGAUGUUAUUGAGGAUGCUACCUACAGGACGCGAGGGAUGUGUCACACCACUCACUACAGGUUUCAAAUCUGGCACAUUAUCAUUGUUUGUGGCCAUCUCUUGAGAAGCAGAAGAUGGUGAAGAAGUCUGCAAGCUCGGGACUCCUUGGGAAGGAGGACGGACAGAUGGAAUGUGUGCAAAAGAAGGUCCCAUGGAACUUACAGUGCUUGGCUCCUAAACAAAUCAUAUCAAAACUUUAUGACUAUACGUGUGCAAUUUAAAGCAGUAUACCAGACCAAAGUGAACAUCUCUUUCCUUUGCACAAAGCAUAAAAGUUCAAGAGUGCAUAAGAAAUCUUACAACUUUUACAGUAGCAGGAGGCACAUUUCCAACAGAAAUUGGUUGCCGAUUCAUUACAGGUCCAUUCACUAAUUUGAAAAACAGGAAAGAAAAAGAAAGGAUAAGUCAGCAAACAAGCAGGAUAAGCAAGAAUUAACCAUGAAAAAUUAUGAACAGCCUAGCCAUAACAAACUUAAGUGCUUAAUUCAAACAAGACAGCCUAUUAUACUAAGAUUUGUAAUUCAUUUAACCUUACUAUGUUUAUUUGAGGGGUAUGACAAGACAAUUACUCUUAUAAAAGAUAAAAUAGAAAUUGCGACUACACCUUAUUGAUACUGAAACAUUGAUAAUUUCAACAACAAAAAAGUCAAAUAGAUAAGUGAAACCGAAUCAUUAAGUACUUUCAUUAACAGAAAAAAAAAUGAACCAAAUAUUUUGCACUGGAAAAAGGGACAACAUAUUGACUGCAAAAC